rnacentral:rRNA from 1 species
UACAGAGGUCCCAAGCGUUGUUCGGAUUCAUUGGGCGUAAAGGGUGCGUAGGUGGUGAGGUAAGUCGGAUGUGAAAGCUCGGAGCUCAACUCCGAAAUGGCAUUGGAAACUACCUUGCUCGAGGGUUGGAGGGGGGACUGGAAUACUUGGUGUAGCAGUGAAAUGCGUAGAUAUCUGGAGGAACACCGGUGGCGAAGGCGGCAUCCUGGACCGGUAUUGACGCUGAGGCGCGAAAGCCAGGGGAGCAAACGGG